GUGGGAGAUAAAUAUUACUUUUGGUUUUGAAACUGCUUCUGUCGCUACUAAUUAUAUAUUGAACACACGCACA